AUGUCAACCCGACCCACCAUGGCCUCACAGACCUCAUUUCAUCCGCACUACAAAUUCUCAUCCAGACCUAACGCUAACUUCACUCUCUCGCUCUCCGCUCCGCUCUCCAUCGCUUCCCCUCCCAUCUCCUCCCAAUGUCAUCAGCAGUGGCGACGGCGUCGGAUCCUACAGCGAGGAAGAUCCUAUCGACUGGAGGCCCUCAUCCGCGAUGCGGAGACGGGCAAUGACGAGCAGCUGGACCUCCACAUCGCGCUGCGGCGGGCGCGAGGCAAAACAGGUGGUAGCUCGGGCUCCGCUCCGUCCCCUGUCGCCCGACGUCGCAUCGCGAACACCGGCGCCAGCCCCUUUCGCACCAUGCGCAACUCCACGCGCUCGGUCCGCUCCGCUCCGCUCCGCUCCGCUCCGCUUCGCUCGCCCGACGCCCUCCUACCCCUCCAGCGUCCGCUCCUCUCGGGCAUCAGUGGGUGCGCGUGCCAGCGCCACGGACACGGAAGUCCGAACUGCGUAGCGCCUACCGUGAGAGGCAAUGUGCUAGAAAGAGGGAGGCGGUAUCGGAGGCUGACACAUAUUCCUCCGGUCGACGACGCAGAUUACCGGCACCGGAUGUGGAGGAGCACCUCCUCACGGUUGUCCUCUGCUGCUCGCUGA
rnacentral:rRNA from 1 species